GACGAACGCUGGCGGCGUGCUUAACACAUGCAAGUCGAACGGAAAGGCCCUGCUUUUGUGGGGUGCUCGAGUGGCGAACGGGUGAGUAACACGUGAGUAACCUGCCCUUGACUUUGGGAUAACUUCAGGAAACUGGGGCUAAUACCGGAUAGGAGCUCCUGCUGCAUGGUGGGGGUUGGAAAGUUUCGGCGGUUGGGGAUGGACUCGCGGCUUAUCAGCUUGUUGGUGGGGUAGUGGCAUACCAAGGCUUUGACGGGUAGCCGGCCUGAGAGGGUGACCGGCCACAUUGGGACUGAGAUACGGCACAGACUCCUACGGGAGGCAGCAGUGGGGACUAUUGCACAAUGGGCGGAAGCCUGAUGCAGCAACGCCGCGUGCGGGAUGACGGCCUUCGGGUUGUAAACCGCUUUCGCCUGUGACGAAGCGUGAGUGACGGUAAUGGGUAAAGAAGCACCGGCUAACUACGUG
rnacentral:rRNA from 1 species